ACUCACCGAUGCACCUCAACAUUUAUACAUAAAACAAUACAACUUUUGUCCUAAUCUUUUAAAAUGCCCCUUGAUGAAUGCACAUAAUCAAAUGACGCAAAAAAAACAAAAAAAAACAUUCACGCUCUAAUAAAAGAAAGAACCGGCGAGGGAAGAGAGAAACAGCUCGCCCGGAGAACCAGUAAUGACACACACACACACACACACACACACACACAGACUGACUGGCGGCUCGCGGCUCACACACACCCAGUUGACAAGGCUUUCGUAGUGGUUGUUGUUUGUGUUUCCGUGAGUGGUUUUAUGAGCUUAGUGAUAGUUUGACAAGGCUUCAUAGAGGCUGUGGUGUGGGUGUUUCCAUGGGUGGUUUUAUGAGCCUAGUGAUAAUUUGACAAGGCUUCAUAUAGGCUGUGGUGUGGGUGUUUCCAUGGGUGGUUUUAUGAGCCUAGUGAUAGUUUGACAAGGCUUCAUAUAGGCUGUGGUGUGGGUGUUUCCAUGGGUGGUUUUAUGAGCCUAGUGAUAGUUUGACAAGGCUUCAUAUAGGCUGUGGUGUGGGUUUCCAUGGGUAGUUUUAUGAGCCUAGUGAUAGUUUGACAAGGCUUCAUAUAGGCUGUGGUGUGGGUAUUUCCAUGGGUGGUUUUAUGAGCCUAGUGAUAGUUUGACAAGGCUUCAUAUAGGCUGUGGUGUGGGUGUUUCCAUGGGUGGUUUUAUGAGCCUAGUGAUAGUUUGACAAGGUAUUUCUGCACCGCGAACGUCAAAAGCACUUAUGAGAACCCGACUAAUCUCCUUUGUGACCUUAAGAAAAAAUAUUAGUAAGAGCUGAAAGCAUCUAAGAAUCCGGACUUCGACUCCAUAACCCUUUUAAUAAUGAUGCAACUUCGAGCUGAGAAUAUGCCGUCUGGAUCGCUUAAUGAAGUCUGUCUCGACGCACUUUUUUAAACAAUAAUAAAAAAAAAAAAAGCCCGCUACUCGCUGCUCCUAUAAAAGAAUCAAAAGAGGUUGCCGAAAGAGAGGUCAAUUUGAUGAGAACAGAAGGCGUUUGAUUUCCCCUAACAAAAUCUCCGCGCCAACACGUUAUAAUCAAAUUCCAUGAUCUACUUAACCUCUAUAUGGAAGGGGACAAGAACUCUCUUCCUCGUACCGGUAACACCUCUAUCAUAUGCGUGUUUAAAGAGAUCAUUUCCCUGUAUUUAAUUUCAUAUCUUAACCCGUCCGCUGCGAAUGGCACGGAUUUGUCCUUCACUGGUAGCCUGGUAACAUACACUCCCAGGUCUUUCUCUGCCUCUGUGCAUGGUGGAUAUAGCGGAGUGUUUCCCAUGUGGUAUUGGUGUGCUGGAUAUCCCCUCUCAAGGUGCAGGACUUUACAUUUUUCUUCAUUGAAUUGUAGCAGCCACUGUUUGUUCCAUUCCUGUCGCUUGGUGAUGUCUUCUGGUAGGAAAUUCGCAGUCAAGGGGUUAAGAGUGAGCGACAGAUUAGGGUCAUCAGGGAGAGAGACAAGCAAAGGAGAGGAAGGAAACAGAACGAGGCGAGUGUACAGAGUUUCUCGGUCACACGAAUACGGUCAGAGCAAUAAGAUAGACAAACAGGACAUGUGGCAUUAGUUAAGCGACCAACACACGCCUUCAGAGCAACAAGAAAAAGCAGAGACGUGAUAAUACAUAGACGACGAACACGAAGAUAGAGGAAUGGAAAGAAAGCAUUGCGAGUUAAGAGACGUGACAUGCGAGACGUUCUUAGAGAGAUGUGACAGUCAUUAAAGGGCAAACGCGAAGUCGGAGGAAGAAGAUAGACAACACAAAGCAAGUAUUCAGAAAUGUGACUUUACUUAACGACAAUCACGAAGAGUCUGAGGAAUUAAGAAAAACACACAAAGCAAAGCAAGUUAAUAUUGUGAUAAAUGAAUAAAAAAAGACAAAACAAAGCAAAUAUUCAGAGAUGUAACUUACUUAACGACCAACACGAACAGUCAGAGCAAUUAAGAAAGACAGACAAAGGAAAGCAAGCCGUGAAACAGACAAAACAAAGCGAGUAUUCAGAGAUGUAACUUACUUAACGACCAACACGAACAGUCAGAGCAAUUAAGAAAGACAGACAAAGGAAAGCAAGCCGUGAAACAGACAAAACAAAGCGAGUAUUCAGAGAUGUGACUUAAUUAACGACCAACAUGUAUAGAUAGUGGAAUAAAGAAAGACAGGCAAAUCAAAGCAAGGCGUGUCAGAGGAAUGAGACAGACAGACAAGAGAUUACCUGACAUAUCCAAGUAAAUAUUCAGCUUCCUACGUGUAUAUUAGGACCAUGAAUUCAACUCCAAACUCUCACUAAACAAAACAAGACGAAUUUAAAGGAACCUAAAGAAACCUACCAUUAUAUAAACAACAAACAAACACUCACAGUCACAAACACACCAGAACAUAACAUUUCCAAGCAAACAUUCAGCAUCCAACUGGCUUAUAUCAGGACCGUGAAUGCAACUCGGAAAUCAAGCUUAGCAAUCAGACCCAAUCACAAGAUCUCCCACGACACAGCAGAUUGAGGGGCGAGCAUCCUUCUGGCGGCGUUGGAGACAGACACAGAAAGACAGACGGAUGAGGAAACAGACGGACGAACGAGGAGGCAAAUAGACAGGCGAACAAACAGACAGGUGAUCAAGCAAACAGACACAGACAGACAGACGAAGAGGCAAACAGAGAUGUGACUUUACUUAGAGAAAAGGCGAACAGGGAAACAGACAGACAGGGGAAGAGACAAACAGACAGGCGAACAGAUAAUUAGACACCCAGACAGAGACAAAGAGACAGGCAAACAGACAGAAGAAGGCAAAGAAGAAGAACAAGAACAAGAAGAACGGAAAACGAGAAGAGGAAGACAGCAGAAAGCGAGAAAGAGGGAAAAGGAGGAAGAGGAAGAGGAACAGAAGGAAAACAGACAGACAACCAGACAGACAGACAGACAGACAUGAACUAGUGGCUCUUGAGACGGGGACAGGCGGGAGCAAUCAGAAAGUCGUUGGCGGGAAAUUGGGACGGUCUCAAAAGCCGAAAACCAGAUGAAAGGAACCAAGGAGGACCAUGCGAGGGUUUCUAUUUUGAGGGGGGAGGGGGGUCGUUUUUUUUAGUUUUUUUUUUUAUUUCACUUCUUCGUGGCAAGUACGACAACAACGACGCCAGUAACGACCAGCCACUGUGGGGAUAAUGGGAUAUGUUGCUCUCUCUCUCUCUCUCUCUCUCUCUCUCUCUCUCUCUCUCUCUCUCUCUCUCUCUCUCUCUCUCUCUCUCUCUCUCUCUCUCUCUCUCUCUCUCUCUCUCUCUCUCUCUCUCUCUCUCUCUCUCGCUCUCUCUCUCUCUCUCUCUCUCUCUCUCUCUCUCUCUCUCUCUCUCUCUCUCUCUCUCUCUCUCUCUCUCUCUCUCUCUCUCUCUCUCUCAUAAUUAUGUCUACAAACUUAUGAAUCACACAACCUCAGAUGAUUCUUAAUUAAUUCAACUUUACAAACACACACACACACACACACACACACACACACACACACACACACACACACACACACACACACACACACACACACACACACACACACAAAUCCAUAA